AAAAUCUAAAUGAGAAGGUAAGUCUUGCCAGCUAACACGUCUCGCACGUGUUUAUCGGCAUCCACAGUCGUUUCUCCAUCGAUGUGGAUGUUUUCGCUUCUGGCAUAGAUUGAUACAACCCGUUGCUGGGCGCCCGGCUUUGAGAGUUCGUCUUGAUGCUCCUGGAGAAUCCGGGAAUCAGUUGUGGUUACAUCU
rnacentral:snoRNA from 1 species